UUUCCUCCCCAUUCUUCUUAGUUUUCAAGAGAGUCUAUGAGAUCUGAGAGAGAACUAGAUCAGCCAUCAAAGAGAAGAUCUUUAUAAGGGAGCUAGCACCCCAGGAAGAUCAUCUCACCUCUAAUUGGAACAAGUUUUUGUGUGGCUAUCUGUGGAGGUCGAACACAUGCGCAGCUAGAGGAAUCGUUCAGAUCUACGAUCAUCGAUUGCGGUGUAGUUCGACCAGCAUAAAGU
rnacentral:lncRNA from 1 species